rnacentral:rRNA from 1 species
AUUGCACGCUGGCGGCAGGCCUAACACAUGCAAGUCGAACGAGUGGCGGACGGGUGAGUAAUGUCUGGGAAAAUGCCUGAUGGAGGGGGAUAACUACUGGAAACGGUAGCUAAUACCGCAUACCAUCGGAUGUGCCCAGAUGGGAUUAGCUAGGAGGUGGGGUAAAGGAUCACCUAGACGACGAUCCCUAGCUGGUCUGAGAGGAUGACCAUCCACACUGGAACUGAGACACUGUCCAGACCCCUACGGUAGGCAGCAGGUGGGAAUAUUGCACAAUGGGCGCAAGCCUGAUGCAGCCAUGCCGCGGGUGUGAAGAAGUCCUUCGGGUUGUAAAGCACUUUCAGCGGGGAGGCGUUACCCGCAGAAGAAGCACCGGCUAACUCCGUGCCAGCAGCCGCGGUAAUAC